rnacentral:lncRNA from 1 species
GCAUUUCUAUGGAGGGCGCACAAUAGCAGAGGUCUGGCGUGUGGCGGUUUGCUGUAGGGACAAUCGAGGCUUUCUCUUCAUAGCAACACUGUCCACCUGCCGCCGGGUGGGGUGGGCAGGACCCCGCCGCGCGUGGGGGUCGCCGGGCUGCCUGGCGCGUGGGGUCGAGGCUGAGUGCCACUCCGUGGUCCCUGAGUGCACGCCCCCAGUACUGGCCCUGCUACAAGUAAUUCCCUUCCAUCCGUUCCUCGCACGGGUGCCGAACAGCCGCGCGAGUUGGGAAGGACGGAGAGCUGCUGUGCAGUCUUCGCGGCUGGACGCCCUGUGGCCGGGACCCCGCGGCUGCAGCCCCUGGAGCUUAGGUAAUGCAGCUCGGAAUCUUUCCCGGGGCGCCAUCUGCAGGCAGGUUAAAAAGAUCCUGAACCCCUUUUGUCCUCCCCUCCCCCCAACACACACACCCUUGCAUUGGCCUGGCGCGGGGGAAGGGCGGUGGAGAGGGACGGCCACGGAGCUGCCCGGCCGGGCCCAGUGAGCCCUGUCCAAGCUGCGCAUAAAUAGAACCCGAGUAAGGGCUGCAAAACGCAUUCAGGUGGGACUGCAGUUACCCUGGGGAGUAGAGGGCAAAAGGAAAUUCCCAUCCAGUACUGAUGGAGUAAGAGCCCCUACGUCUUAUACCAUGUUGAAAUAUCUUAAUUACUUAAAUGCGCAUAUGUAAAAAGCCUUUUUUCCGGCAAUGGAAUAAGUCUGGAAGAGAUCUUGGGAGAGUUUAAUAGGCUAGAGGUUGCUGCCGUUUGACCAUACACGCUGGCACUUUCAGAGGAUUCACCCACUGAGCACCUUCUGUGCUACGUGAAAAGGCGCGCUGGGGGACACCUCAUUGCUUCCUUUUUUUGGGUGAAGCCUUGGAGACUGGCCAGGACAGUGGCGGGCCGGGUGGAUUGGAUGGAAACCCGGGCCCUGCCGCAAGACUGGGGCGAUAAUGGGAAAGUAAACAACGCCGUGGCUUUGUUCCUUUCAUUCAGGCUU